rnacentral:rRNA from 1 species
CUGCAUCUGAUACUGGCAAGCUUGAGUCUCGUAGAGGGGGGUAGAAUUCCAGGUGUAGCGGUGAAAUGCGUAGAGAUCUGGAGGAAUACCGGUGGCGAAGGCGGCCCCCUGGACGAAGACUGACGCUCAGGUGCGAAAGCGUGGGGAGCAAACAGGAUUAGAUACCCUGGUAGUCCACGCCGUAAACGAUGUCGACUUGGAGGUUGUGCCCUUGAGGCGUGGCUUCCGGAGCUAACGCGUUAAGUCGACCGCCUGGGGAGUACGGCCGCAAGGUUAAAACUCAAAUGAAUUGACGGGGGCCCGCACAAGCGGUGGAGCAUGUGGUUUAAUUCGAUGCAACGCGAAGAACCUUACCUGGUCUUGACAUCCACGGAAGUUUUCAGAGAUGAGAAUGUGCCUUCGGGAACCGUGAGACAGGUGCUGCAUGGCUGUCGUCAGCUCGUGUUGUGAAAUGUUGGGUUAAGUCCCGCAACGAGCGCAACCCUUAUCCUUUGUUGCCAGCGGUCCGGCCGGGAACUCAAAGGAGACUGCCAGUGAUAAACUGGAGGAAGGUGGGGAUGACGUCAAGUCAUCAUGGCCCUUACGACCAGGGCUACACACGUGCUACAAUGGCGCAUACAAAGAGAAGCGACCUCGCGAGAGCAAGCGGACCUCAUAAAGUGCGUCGUAGUCCGGAUUGGAGUCUGCAACUCGACUCCAUGAAGUCGGAAUCGCUAGUAAUCGUGGAUCAGAAUGCCACGGUGAAUACGUUCCCGGGCCUUGUACACACCGCCCGUCACACCAUGGGAGUGGGUUGCAAAAGAAGUAGGUAGCUUAACCUUCGGGAGGGCGCUUACCACUUUGUGAUUCAUGACUGGGGUGAAGUCGUAACAAGGUAACCGUAGGGGAACCUGCGGUUGGAUCACCUCCUUACCUUAAAGAAGC